GUUUUAUUCAUUUGUAUUAUUAGACUGAGUUUUAAGCGUGGUUUGUAUGUACGAGGGCUGUUGGUGGGUGUUGGUUUCGAGGCGCGCCUCGAGACCAACGCUCGCCCCGAGACGCCCAGGGGCGCCCCAGCACAAUGCCCACCAAAGCCCCAAAAUCCCAGUGCACAAGGGUGUGUGAGAAUCACUUCAUUGAUGAUCCUUCCGCAGGUUCACCUACGGAAA
rnacentral:misc_RNA from 1 species